GACGAACGCUGGCGGCGUGCUUAACACAUGCAAGUCGAGCGGUAAGGCCCUUUCGGGGGUACACGAGCGGCGAACGGGUGAGUAACGCGUGGGUGACCUGCCUUCAGCUCUGGGAUAAGCCUGGGAAACUGGGUCUAAUACCGGAUAUGACUCCAUGAUGCAUGUUGGUGGGGUAGGAAAGUCUUUGCGGCUGGAGAUGGGCCCGCGGCCUAUCAGCUUGUUGGUGGGGUGAUGGCCUACCAAGGCGACGACGGGUAGCCGGCCUGAGAGGGCGACCGGCCACACUGGGACUGAGACACGGCCCAGACUCCUACGGGAGGCAGCAGU
rnacentral:rRNA from 1 species